UCCCAGACUCCUACGGGAGGCAGCAGUAGGGAAUUUUGCGCAAUGGGCGAAAGCCUGACGCAGCAACGCCGCGUGAUUGAUUAAGCCCUUCGGGGUGUAAAGAUCUGUCAGUGGGGACGAAACUUGACGGUACCCACAGAGGAAGCACCGGCUAACUCCGUGCCAGCAGCCGCGGUAAUACGUAGGUGGCAAGCGUUAUCCGGAUUUACUGGGUGUAAAGGGCGUGUAGGCGGGACUGCAAGUCAGAUGUGAAAACCACGGGCUCAACCUGUGGCCUGCAUUUGAAACUGUAGUUCUUGAGUACUGGAGAGGCAGACGGAAUUCCUAGUGUAGCGGUGAAAUGCGUAGAUAUUAGGAGGAACACCAGUGGCGAAGGCGGUCUGCUGGACAGCAACUGACGCUGAGGCGCGAAAGCGUGGGGAGCAAACAGGAUUAGAUACCCCAGUAA
rnacentral:rRNA from 1 species